UUGUUAUUGCAGCCGCUAGAUGGCAGCACUAAUGUUUUUCUAAACGUCAGCCGGUGUCAACAAACAGUAGAGGUUAUAUUGUUGAAUAUAAAUAAAUAGCAGUGUUAACGUGAAGUUAAUUUCUUUGGUGCUGUCAAAAAUGAGACCGACAAUGGAAGCGAAUUUUGAUAAAGCGUCUUCCCAGAAUCUACCAAAAGUGGACGUUGAAAUGCUCGCAGUUCUUUUAAUAUUAAAACUACCACGGGGAUUUGCAGAAGCUCUCUUUUUUUUAUUAUUAUGUUGUAAAAAAGUAUGCAGUAUUCCUACAUAUACCGAGAUGGGUCAUUUCAACCCCGCACGGAACAAGGUUUUCGGUGCUGUUCUAUUGUAACGUGGAAAUAAAACUAAUAACUAAAAGAACUUCCCUAGUUGGCACUAUAAGACAAAACAAGAGAGAACUACCUAAACUUGCAACAUCAAAAAAGGAUAACAUGUCUCGCUUCUCGACAGUACUUCAUAAAACAGAUGUACUCUGACCAUCUAUAAGAUAACCAAAUAAAAAAGUAUUACUGCAUAGUUCAAAACAUAAGUCAGUGAAAAUUGAAAAAGAUGAAAAACGUUUACCUGAAACGAUUACAUUUUAUAACAAUAUCAAAUUUGGCGUAGAUGUACGGAUCAAAUGGCUCGGAAAUAUACUGUGAAAGCUGGAUCCCGAAGAUGGCCAUUACAAAUGUUUUACAAUAUUUUAGAUCUUGCCGGAAUAAAUGCAUGGAUAUUAUAUAAGGAAAGAACAGGAGAAAAUAUUUCAAGAAAAGAAAUUCCCGUUAUCCGAAAAACUUGCAAUUGACUACAAAGAGCUAACCGGUAGAUCUACAGAUCAAGUAGAAGGAAUAUCAUCAUCUAUAUCGUCACAAAAUCAGACACAUAUUUCGAUGAAACGUAAACGGUGUUAAAUAGCACAUUGUACUAAUAAUAAAACGAAUAAAAUUUAUGGUACAUGCCAUAAACGAACCUGUGGUAAAUGAUCUUCUAAAAUAUCUGUAACUUGCCAAAAAUUUUCUUCAACUUUUAUCCAUAAUUAUUUAAAAAAUUACUGCUAUUAUAUUACUAUUAUUAAAAGAUUAUAUUUAAGGUUUGUUCAGAAAAUUACCAAAUAUAUAAAAACGUAAAAAUUGCUGUCUUUUUUUAUAUAUCUUUUAGUAACUUAAGAAACAGGUCAUUUUGACCCAUCCGGUAGAAGUAGGUAUACGUCAAUCGUCGGUAGUUCUAGUGUUAAAAUCAAAUUUGUAUCAGAGUGCGGAAAACGGAGGUGUCAAAGCCGGCAGGCACGUUUCGAGGAUUAAAUAACUCAUUGCUAAAAAUACUAAAAAUGUAAUUAUACGUUCAAAUAAUCAAUUCAUUUUAAUUUUAAUUUACUUCAGAGCAACUCGCCCCACUUAUGGAGAUGCGGCAGUCGGUUGGGUUCAGGUACAUCGUGAUUCAGGGUUAUGCACUAUUAAAGCACGAGUAUGUCCGGAACACAAAAUUCGCGAUACAGAAUAAUACAACGAGAAAUUGAGGAAGAUAAACAAAAUCAUCUUGUUGAAUUUUUCAAACCUAGGGCCAGUUGGGAAAAAAUCUCACUCCAUCAUUUAGCCUCGAGUUAUUCUGGAAAUCGUCUUGACAUCGAUGAAUUUUUUAACUAUUGUCAGAACAGUUAUACAUAUGAAGACUGUGCGGCAGUUGCUAAUCGCACGAAAGAUCAGAGUGAAUCCCCGAUUUGGUAUGAGAUGAGAUAUGGCCCGAAUCACAGCCUCAAUUCUGUACGAGACCUGUCGUUGUCGUACAACAGAAGGAGCGCUCUUCAGAAAAAUCAUAGGAGGAAAAAUGAUCGAGACUGAUGCAAUGGCGAGGGGGAGAGAAUUGGAAGCAGAUGUCAUCAAGAUUGUAGAAAAGUUAAUCGGAGAGAAAGGAUCAAAAUCUGGCUUAUUAUUAUCGCCUAUGUACCCAUGGUUUGGAGCAUCACCCGAUGGUGUAACAAAAACUGCUGUCAUUGAAGUCAAGUGCCCGAUGAAAGUCGAUACUGUCUACAAUUAUUAUUCCAACAACACCGUAAAUCCUAAAUUUCGAGCACAAAUGCAGUUGAAAAUGUUUUUUGCAGGGAAACAGAAAGCGAAAUUUUGCAUCGCUGAUCCACGUUUUCCCAUAAUAAAACGUAUAACUAUCAUCGAGGAAGAGUUGGACCCUCAUUUGACCAACACGUUAAUUCAGCAGGCCUCAGCAUUUUGGGAAUCAGCCAUUCUGCCAGCUUUGAUGGACUCAACAUAACCCGGAAGAAUUAAAAAAUUUAUUGUUGUAUGGGAAUAAAAUCAAUAAUGGUUGAAAAUUGAAACUAUAAUGCAUUAAUUUAUUAAAAAUACAUCGGUAUACAUAUCUCAAUGAGUCUAAAUUUUUGUAAUCAACAUGUUAUUAUUUUGCUUUGUAAGUUUACGAAUGCAGCGGCCACCUGUACUAUAUCCUCCAUCAGAUGGAUUAAGUUGUGAUCGACCGUAACAUGUGGUUGCAACAUUUUAAAUUCUCUCAGGCGUCUGAUCACUCUCUCUACGUGGAUUCUUACACUGGCAAUUUCUGUCGUUUUUAAGACUUCCUCUUUGGUAGGUUUCACAUCUGUUUGGACCGAAGAAGGUCGCAGAAGUUUACAGUUUUUUUUUUGGUGUAACUAGGAUUCGAUUUGUUUAAAUCCUCUAUCUGCGAGAAUAGAUGACCCAGAAGGGAGAACCGAUAAAUAUCCAGAAUUUUUGACAAUUUUUAUGUCCCUGGAGUGACCGCCAAAUCCACAGGAGAUGAAAUUAAUCAAUUCAUCAGGAGUUAUGGAUAUCAGAUAUUUACAAAAAUUACACUUCUUAUAGUCUGACCAUGUUGCAGCCUGGUGUACUACAUGAGUUAAAUGUUUUAUUUGAAUUUCGAAACAAUUUUUAUGUCAAAAUUAAACGAAAUGACAUGAUUAUUUAAUGGUUUAACUUGAAAAUUCCCAAAUAAAAAAAAAAAAGGCCCACUGGAUAAGCCCACUGGAUGAAAAA